rnacentral:lncRNA from 1 species
CACAAACAAGAACAAGAAGAACAAGGAUUCUGCUUUGGAUAUAUUACACAGAGACAUAUAGAGAGAGAGGUGUCUUGAUCUUGAAAAAAAAUGGCUUACGAGAAAGUCAAUGAGCUUAACCUUAAGGACACAGAGCUUCGUCUUGGAUUACCCGGAACGGAGCAAGAUAAGGAAGAACAAGAGGUUUCUUGCGUUAGAAGCAACAAGCGUCAACUACAGAGCGAUAACGAGGAAGAAUCUACACUUCCUACGAAGUAAGUGAAGAUUUGAGUUUCAAUCUAUUGUUUAAAAUUAUCUAUGAAUUAUUGUACUGAAUCAUCAUUUUUUUAAUCUCCUUUCUUUGGUCCUUUAUAAUAAUAGUAUAUCCUUUGUAAAAGAAGUGUAAAGACAUCGACGGCAAAGAGGUAGCGUAAGCAAAGUUGGCGGAGGCAAAUAAGGAGCGUGGAAUAAAGAAAGAGUCGAGUCCACAUGGGCGGCCAUAGCGUUUGUGUCCCACCUUUGUCCCCUUGCCUCUUUCUUGCCUUUCAUGCUCCCGACAACAUCUCUCUCUCUUCCUUUAACCCUAACUUCUAUGCAUCUUCUCCCUCCUGUAUAUAUCUCUCUUUCUCUAAACCCAUCAUCAACCAAACUCACAAACAAGAACAAGAAGAACAAGGAUUCUGCUUUGGAUAUAUUACACAGAGACAUAUAGAGAGAGAGGUGUCUUGAUCUUGAAAAAAAAUGGCUUACGAGAAAGUCAAUGAGCUUAACCUUAAGGACACAGAGCUUCGUCUUGGAUUACCCGGAACGGAGCAAGAUAAGGAAGAACAAGAGGUUUCUUGCGUUAGAAGCAACAAGCGUCAACUACAGAGCGAUAACGAGGAAGAAUCUACACUUCCUACGAAGUAAGUGAAGAUUUGAGUUUCAAUCUAUUGUUUAAAAUUAUCUAUGAAUUAUUGUACUGAUGAUGAUUCUUUGCUAAUUUACAGAACUCAAAUCGUUGGUUGGCCUCCGGUGAGAUCUUACCGUAAAAACAACAACAGUGUGAGCUAUGUGAAAGUGAGUAUGGAUGGAGCUCCAUACCUUAGGAAAAUAGAUCUCAAGACAUACAAAAACUAUCCAGAGCUUCUCAAGGCAUUAGAGAACCUGUUCAAGUUCACGAUCGGUGAAUACAGCGAAAGAGAAGGAUACAAAGGAUCUGGAGUUGUACCAACGUACGAGGAUAAAGAUGGAGAUUGGAUGUUGGUUGGUGAUGUUCCAUGGGAUAUGUUCUCUUCCUCUUGUAAGAGACUCAGGAUCAUGAAAGGAUCUGAUGCUCUUGCUUUGGACUCGGCCUUAUGAUGAUGAUGAUGAUGAUGAUGAAAGCUUUUGAUGGAUGAAACCCUUUUUGAUUUGAUUCUGAUCGGAGUUUGAGUAGUUGACCACACCAAAAACAGAACAUGUCAGGGUUUUGUUCGAUGAGAUAGAUCCAUCUUCAAGGGGUUUUCUUUUUGUUUUGUUUGAUCCUUGUUUUUAGAUUUGCAGCUUGUUGUAAAGAUAGAUGAAAUUUUUGUACAAUACGGACAUAUACACAAUAUAGAUGCGUAUGUAGCAAUGUUUUGACGAAAAGAGUCUUUAAUUUCAUAGUGAUAUCUACAAUAAUUUACAAUAAAGAACCUCAUAGUAUUCUUUAGGAGAGGGCAAAAUAAGGGUUUGGAUUCGAUCAGGAAAUUUUGGAUAUUUGUAACUCCAACAAAAAAAAAUACUUACAUUUAAUUAUAGUUAAAAACUGAAAAAAUUAUAAUUACUAAAAUUUUAGAAGAUAUAUGUGUUUAUUAUAUUUAUAUGAAAGUUUGAUAUAUUUUCGCUAAAUUAUUUAUUUAUUUAUUUAUUAAAAAGUAAAAUUAAAUUACAUUUUAUUUCGUAAUGAACAUUAUUAUAAUAUGUCAAAUUUCGAAUUUUUUAAUAAAAAAUAUUUUUACAUUUAAAAAAGAUUAAUCAAGAAACAGGCCUGAUAAGAGUUUCCAAAGCCCAAUUGACUUGAGUCCAUUGAUUUUGGUUAUGUGCUAUGACGGGGCGAAUCUAGCCCAUUUAAAUUAUGGGUGCACUAUUGAUAGAAAAACAUAAAAAUACAUUAGACAAGGAUCGAACCUAAGAAACUGAGGGUGCACAUACUUCUUUUUACCAUAUAAGCUAACCAAAUUUUGAUGUUUCUACGUGUAAAAUACUAAAUUUUAAAAUAAUUGUGGGUGCACAUGUCCCCUCAUCCUUUAACUUGGCUUCGCCAGGUGUUUCCACCUUCGAUGAUCAGAUAAGUGGAGAAGGUGAAAUCUACAUAAAGCUUGAAUGAAUUGGUACAUUUGAUAUAGCAACGAAAUUAUACAUAGUAUUAAUUUAAUUUAUUUUACUUCGUAAGUCAAGCUAGGCAAGAUUGUUUUGCGUGAAAUUUCGACAGGAAGACACUUGUUUCCAGUUAAUUGGGAAAUAAUUAAUAACUAGAAUAAGACAUGCGCUAGUGCGCAUAAUGAUUUUGUUUGUAUAUAUUAUCGAUAAUUCUUUUUAUAUAUUUGUUUAUUUUGUUAAUGCAUAUACAAUAUUUUUUGCUAAUAUUAUAUAAUUUCUUUCUGAUAGAUCGGAUUAAUUUUUAUUAAAAGUUGUGGAACUAAAUUAUAAUUAAUAUAUCAUAGGUUGAUUGGAUUUAAACAAAUUGUGACACAAAAACCUUAUUUUUUUCACCGGACACAUUAUUGAAAAAAAUGAAUAGUAAUGUUUCCACAGUUGAAUUGUUUUGACAUUGAUCUUCCAUAUGGUUUUGACAUGUUUCAGAUCAACAAUCAAAUUAAUACAUGUCAUUUUAAUGAUUUUAGUCGUAUGGUUAAGUAAAACUUACAUUUUUGUAAUUUAAAUUUGUUUUAAAAAAAUUCAGAAUAUAACAUAUAAGAAAAAAUCUAACAUAUAAGAAAAAAUCUAACAUAUAAGAAAAAUAUAACAUAUAAGAUUUCCUCAUUUUUGUAAAUUAAAGUCGUUUUAAACAAAAAUUAAAUUAUAACAUAUAAGGUUUCCUCAUUUUUGUAAUUUAAAGUCAUUUUAAAAAUUUUAAAAUAUAACAUAUAAGUAAAAAAACUAGUUUUUUAAUUAUAUGGUUAAUGUGAUUAUUUUAAUUUUUUUAAUAAUAUAAAAUUUAAAAAAAAAUGAAGAAUGAUGCAAAAAUUGUUAUAAAUUUUUUAUUAUUCAUAGUCAUUAACUGUCAUAUAUAUGUUAAUACUAUUAGGUAAUUUCGUAGUUUUUAUUUAAAGAAAUAAUACAUGUUUCUUAUAUUUUGAGUUAAUAUAAUGUUUCUUAAUAACUGGAUUUGAACCAACAUUUUUUCAAUUAAUUCUUAAGCUGUCAUGUAAACUAAAUUGUCAUCCUAAUUAAGUGAUACCUAAACAGUGUCUCUUUUUAAUUAGUACAAACUUAAUGUUAUAAUUUUUUUAAUAGUCCUCAAUUAAUAUAUAGGGAUUCAUAUAAUCAUAUUUAACAUGUUUAAUGAGGGGUCGUACAUAUUUAUAAUAUAUUUUUUUUUUUAUUGCUAUCUUAGCUUAACUGGUCAUGCAUGUUUCGUAUGUUUUUGAUACUGCUAGUACAUUCAAGUCUAGUUUUGUAUAAUCUAAGUCUGUAAUCUAAUUUUCAACAGUGGUGAUAUAUAUAUUAAUGGGAAAAUUAGGGCACGAAUAAUUAAGAAUUGCAAUUCUAUACUAAGAAAAAUGAGUUGAAAACAUGUUUUGAAAGUUUAAUCCUGCGAGUUAAAACAUUUUGAGGCACCUUUUUCUUAAUAUUUGCAAAUCUAAUGUCUUAACUUUUUAUCAUAUUCAUUACUGCAUUUUGCCGCGUGCCAAUUAACAUAAGUGCACGCUACUACAAUCGAAUGGUAUAUCGAUGCAGUAUUGUAUGAUUGAAUCCAUAAAAAACUAGUGGUAUAUAACAAUAAGAAUACACAAACUUUUCUAAUCUAAGCAAAUAAGAAGAUGGAUGAUUUGUAACAAUCUAAGUAAUGACAGUAGUGAUCAUGGGCCUUUGGAGAAAGUGAAAGAGCAGUCUCAAGCCCACACGGUCACCACCAAAGUUCAGCCUAAUCCUCCUCUGUCGUCUAGUGUCAAACAGAAAGCAUUCAAGGUUCAAUCUUCUUGCUCCAGUACGACGAGGCCAGCUAAUGGCAUAACGGUUGGAAAUAGAUUUGAGUGUCUUGGUACACAGCCUGUCAUGUGCUGAGUCAGAGUAGAGGAUAAGAUCUUAUGUCUCUAUAUAAUGUAAAACGUGAACAUGUAAUCAGCAAGCAAGAAAGUAAUAAAAGUUAAAACGUUCUUCUUCACAAAACUCUAAGUUUUUUCAUGGUAUCAGAGCCAUGGAGGACUCUGACGCUAUUUCUACGCCAUCACUGAGUAUCUCUCAGUGUGUGACGUUAAAACUCACAUCUUCCAACUACUUGCUUUGGAAGACACAGUUCGAAUCCUUUCUUUACAGUCAAUCCUUGCUCGGUUUUCUCAAUGGAGGUUCUCUUCGCCCUGCUCCAACGGUAACGGUUCAAGAAGGAGAUGGAGUCACAGAGCAGCCUAAUCCUGAGUUUCAGAAGUGGAUGCGCAAAGACCAGCUUGUCAUGGCUUGGUUGUUCGGUUCUCUGUCUGAGGAUGCUCUCAGAUCUGUCUACGGUCUCACGUCAGCUCAGGAGGUCUGGUUCUGCCUUGGAAAGAAGUACAAUCGUGUCUCAGCUACAAGAAAACUAGAUCUCCAACGUAAGCUUCAAGGUAUGACUAAAAGCCAAAGAACCAUGACAGAGUAUCUAGGAGAGAUUAAGAGUAUCUGUGACCAGUUAGACUCUAUAGGGUGUAGCAUGACUGAGCAUGAGAUGAUAUAUGGUGCGUUGAGCGGUUUAGGGAAAGAGUAUGAAUCCAUAUGUACGGUUAUUGAGCAUUCUAUGGAUUCGGUUACUGAGAUGACGUUUGAAGAUGCUGUGUUCAAGCUCACUACCUUUGAUGAUAAGCUUCAGGUCUAUAACCAAAGUGCCACAGUUAAUCCUCAUCUUGCCUUUCAUGUUGGAAGGGGUUACUCUAACAACAGAGGCAGAGGAGGUUACACUAACAGAGGGGAUUAUAGAGGUGGUCGAAGCAACAACAACUACUCCACAAGGGGACGUGGCUUUCAACAGCAGUUCUCAAGUGGUAAUGGUCGUGACAAUGUUAGCUCAGGGUCCGGUUCCAACAACAGACCUACCUGCCAAAUCUGUGGGCGGUAUGGUCAUUCAGCUGCGAGAUGCUACAAUCGCUAUGAUCAAGAGUCUCAGUCUUCAGAUAACCUACCCAAUGCGCUCACCACAAUGAGACUUUCUGAUCAAGAACACAGUACCGGUCAAGAAUGGUAUCCAGAUUCUGCUGCGUCUGCCCACAUUACAAGCAACCAGUCUCAGUUAACGUCAGCAGAACCCUAUCUUGGGAAUGAUCAAGUGAUCGUUGGGAAUGGAGAUUACCUGCCAAUCACGCAUGUUGGAUCUGUCGCCUUACACACACAACAAGGUACUCUUCCUCUUGAUGAUGUGUUAGUCUGUCCUGGAAUAACAAAGUCUUUGAUAUCGGUUUCAAAACUCACUUCAGACUAUCCAUGUGAAGUUACAUUUGAUUCUGAAACUGUUUUUGUUAAGGACAAGCAAACAAAACAGGUGAUAACUCAAGGCAGAAGGGAUAAGGAUCUGUAUAUGUUGAAGGAUGCAAGAUAUCAAGCUUUUUAUUCUACAAGACAGAGAGCUACAAGUGUGGAGAUUUGGCAUCAAAGGCUAGGCCAUCCUCACAAGGACAUCCUUCAGCAGUUAGCCAGGAGUAACGCUAUCAGUUUGAAUAAAGGGGGGACAUUGGAGCUCUGUGAAGCGUGUCAGAUUGGCAAGAGUUGCAGGCUUCCUUUUCUUCUUUCAGAAACUUUUUCUAAUAGACCUUUAGAGAAGAUACAUUGUGACUUAUGGGGACCUAGUCCAGUUGUUUCUGCUCAAGGAUUUGGAUUACCCGGAAUAGAGCAAGAUAAGGAAGAACAAGAGGUUUCUUGCGUUAGAAGCAACAAGCGUCAACUACAAAGCGAUAACGAGGAAGAAUCUACACUUCCUACGAAGUAAGUAAAGAUUUGAGUUUCAAUCUAUUGUUUCAAAUUAUCUAUGAAUUGUUGUACUAAUGAUGAUUCUUUGCUAAUUUACAGAACUCAAAUCGUUGGUUGGCCUCCGGUGAGAUCUUACCGUAAAAACAACAACAGUGUGAGCUAUGUGAAAGUGAGUAUGGAUGGAGCUCCAUAC